rnacentral:rRNA from 1 species
GACGAACGCUGGCGGCGUGCCUAAUACAUGCAAGUUGAGCGCUGAAGGUUGGUACUUGUACCAACUGGAUGAGCAGCGAACGGGUGAGUAACGCGUGGGGAAUCUGCCUUUGAGCGGGGGACAACAUUUGGAAACGAAUGCUAAUACCGCAUAAAAACUUUAAACACAAGUUUUAAGUUUGAAAGAUGCAAUUGCAUCACUCAAAGAUGAUCCCGCGUUGUAUUAGCUAGUUGGUGAGGUAGAGGCUCACCAGGGCGAUGAUACAUAGCCGACCUGAGAGGGUGAUCGGCCACAUUGGGACUGAGACACGGCCCAAACUCCUACGGGAGGCAGCAGUAGGGAAUCUUCGGCAAUGGACGAAAGUCUGACCGAGCAACGCCGCGUGAGUGAAGAAGGGUUUCGGAUCGUAAAACUCUGUUGGUAGAGAAGAACGUUGGUGAGAGUGGAAAGCUCAUCAAGUGACGGUAACUACCCAGAAAGGGACGGCUAACUACGUG